UCCAUUUCCACAUUGUACUGAAACUCUCGGCACUGGAAAUUGUCUCAUCAGAAGGAACAUACUGGAAGGUCUGCAAACCAAACUCAGGGCCUUCUGUCUGUGGAGCAUUUGUUGUAACGCUGCCUGAGGACGAGGAAGGGGAAGUUACUGGGCUGGCUGCAAGAGGAACAAUAGACAAGGAGAACUUGAAGUGUAAACGACAAUCUGACUUACAUUAUCACCCACCCAAGUGAGAAAUGCAGGCAUCAGUGUAACCAAGUGCACCCAUGCUCUAUGUCGCGAAAGAUAUGUAUGUGUGCCUGAUGCCUGUGGAGUUCCAAAGCGUUAUUUUGUCUAUGGCUCUCGGGCUUCUUUGAUUUGAUAGCACAUUUGGACCAAUUUCUGCAAACGGACCCUUGGCAUCUCUCCCUGGAACACACCUUGGUAUUCAAACUCUGGCAUUGUGCAUUACAAACGCAGACAAGAAAUACUUCCACCUUGUGAGACAACCCUCAAACCCAGC
ensembl:antisense Gm16263 predicted gene 16263